rnacentral:rRNA from 1 species
ACGAUGUCUACUAAGUUGUCGGGCUUUAAUUAACUUGGUAACGCAGCUAACGCGUGAAGUAGACCGCCUGGGGAGUACGGUCGCAAGAUUAAAACUCAAAGGAAUUGACGGGGACCCGCACAAGCGGUGGAUGAUGUGGAUUAAUUCGAUGCAACGCGAAAAACCUUACCUACCCUUGACAUGUACGGAAGCCACGAGAGAUCGAGGCGUGCUCGAAAGAGAGCCGUAACACAGGUGCUGCAUGGCUGUCGUCAGCUCGUGUCGUGAGAUGUUGGGUUAAGUCCCGCAACGAGCGCAACCCUUGUCAUUAGUUGCUACGAAAGAGCACUCUAAUGAGACUGCCGGUGACAAACCGGAGGAAGGUGGGGAUGACGUCAAGUCCUCAUGGCCCUUAUGGGUAGGGCUUCACACGUCAUACAAUGGUACAUACAGAGGGCCGCCAACCCGCGAGGGGGAGCUAAUCCCAGAAAGUGUAUCGUAGUCCGGAUUGUAGUCUGCAACUCGACUACAUGAAGUUGGAAUCGCUAGUAAUCGCGGAUCAGCAUGUCGCGGUGAAUACGUCCCGGGUCUUGUACACACCGCCCGUCACACCAUGGGAGCGGGUUUUACCAGAAGUAGUAGCUUACCGCAAGGAAGGCGCUUACCACGGUAGGAUUCNUGACU